rnacentral:rRNA from 1 species
GGGGAAUAUUGCACAAUGGGGGAAACCCUGAUGCAGCGACGCCGCGUGAGUGAAGAAGUAUUUCGGUAUGUAAAGCUCUAUCAGCAAGGAAGAUAAUGACGGUACUUGACUAAGAAGCCCCGGCUAACUACGUGCCAGCAGCCGCGGUAAUACGUAGGGGGCAAGCGUUAUCCGGAUUUACUGGGUGUAAAGGGAGCGUAGGUGGCAUGGUAAGUCAGAUGUGAAAGCCCAGGGCUCAACCCUGGGAUUGCAUUUGAAACUAUCAGGCUAGAGUGCAGGAGAGGUAAGUGGAAUUCCUAGUGUAGCGGUGAAAUGCGUAGAUAUUAGGAAGAACACCAGUGGCGAAGGCGGCUUACUGGACUGUCACUGACACUGAGGCUCGAAAGCGUGGGGAGCAAAC